GAGUAAUGCAGUACGGAACGUACCGGAAGGUGGGGAUAACGUAGCGAAAGUUACGCUAAUACCGCAUAUUCUGUGAGCAGGAAAGCGGGGGAUCGCAAGACCUCGCGCUUCCGGAGCGGCCGAUGUCGGAUUAGCUAGUUGGCGGGGUAAAGGCCCACCAAGGCAACGAUCCGUAGCGGGUCUGAGAGGAUGAUCCGCCACACUGGGACUGAGACACGGCCCAGACUCCUACGGGAGGCAGCAGUGGGGAAUUUUGGACAAUGGGGGCAACCCUGAUCCAGCCAUGCCGCGUGAGUGAAGAAGGCCUUCGGGUUGUAAAGCUCUUUCGGCUGGGAAGAAAUCGCAUCUCCUAAUACGGGGUGUGGAUGACGGUACCAGCAUAAGAAGCACCGGCUAACUACGUGCCAGCAGCCGCGGUAAUACGUAGGGUGCGAGCGUUAAUCGGAAUUACUGGGCGUAAAGCGUGCGCAGGCGGUUUCGUAAGACAGAGGUGAAAUCCCCG
rnacentral:rRNA from 1 species